GCGCGCAGAGGUUAAGUGCGGAGACGUGCGUGGAAAGCGCCACUAGGGGGGCAGACGUGCCCAGACGCCGGCGCGGGCGGGGAGCCCCCGAGACGACCAGAGGGGGGGGGGGGAAGGGGGGCGGGGAACGGGGCUGGCCUACGGGUGGUGGGUUUUAUUUGUUUGUUUAUCCGUUUUCUUCCUGCGCCUGCGCAUUGGCCUCUCGGCCCGGCUCCACCUCCCUCUCCACCUUCCAGUCCUCUCUGUGCCCGCCCCCAGGCCGCCGCCGUCAGCCAAUCAGAGUUCGGGGAGGUUUGGGAGCCCGAGAUGCUGCAGGGAUUGGCUGUGGCUGGGACAGGGCAGGAAUUCUAUUUGGCGUUUGAGCUGCCUGAGGAAAUCCAGCUGGAACCGGUCUAAGGCGGCCUAGGGGGUGCUGGCGGAGUUUUGAGUGCCUGGCGGGAAAGCGAGGUCCUAGAGCAUCUUCACCUCGAUGCUGCUUUCAUUAUGGCCUAGCUUUCUGGCCCCGUGCUUGACUUGGGUGAAAGUUAACCAGUGUCUGCUGGAUAGCUGCGGCAAAUGACCUGCAGCUGUCACAAGAUUGCCAACUUGAAGGCCCCUCGGAGAUAACAGAUUUUUCCAACCUUCUCCUGGAUACAAACAGCCAGGCCCCAACCACCACUCACUUAAAGCAACCCAAGACUGGACUAUGCUCACAAUGAUGCUUUUGGGCUUCUGACCUAACAAGAGUUAUUUACCUGAUCCAUUUUUAGUGACUUGUACGAAGUCCUCCUCGUCCUCGUCACAGCUGAACUGCUGGAGAACUGUAUCCGGUUGGCUUUCAGCAGGAUCGCUGUCAGCGUGCUUCCUGAGGCUUCGGAGGGCAACGAGGCGGUGAUGGAUCGCUGCGUACAGAUAGCCUAUGUCUUUGGCACUAGCCUUUGUGAGAAAUGGAUAAUGUAGCUAUGUUUACAUCUCUUUUUAUCUCUCGCUGUUUCUAAAGGACAGAAUUGUAUUACAUAAAUCUGGAAGGUACAUAAAUGCCCAGAGC